UGGGGAAUAUUGGGCAAUGGGCGCAAGCCUGACCCAGCAACGCCGCGUGAAGGAAGAAGGCUUUCGGGUUGUAAACUUCUUUUAAGAGGGAAGAGCAGAAGACGGUACCUCUAGAAUAAGCCACGGCUAACUACGUGCCAGCAGCCGCGGUAAUACGUAGGUGGUAAGCGUUGUCCGGAUUUACUGGGUGUAAAGGGCGUGCAGCCGGGUCUGCAAGUCAGAUGUGAAAUCCAUGGGCUCAACCCAUGAACUGCAUUUGAAACUGUAGAUCUUGAGUGUCGGAGGGGCAAUCGGAAUUCCUAGUGUAGCGGUGAAAUGCGUAGAUAUUAGGAGGAACACCAGUGGCGAAGGCGGAUUGCUGGACGAUAACUGACGGUGAGGCGCGAAAGUGUGGGGAGCAAACA
rnacentral:rRNA from 1 species